rnacentral:lncRNA from 12 species
ACUCACAAGGCCACGUGGGCCUGGCUGGCAACGUCACUAUGGAGUGUACCGUCGUAAGUCAGCAGAGAGGCCUCAGGCUCAGGAUGGCAUUGGCUCUUUCUCCUGCCACUAGUCUGGCACCUGGGAAAAGAGGCUGUUCUUUCUCAACUCGGUUUCCUCAUGUGAAAACUAGAGACAGGAGCAAUCACUGCUUUGUAGCAAUUACUGCUUUACAGUCUUGGGAGUGCUGAAUGAGGUAACGUGUUUGAAAGCAAUAUUUCUUGAAUAGCAUGCAGUAAGUGUGCGAUGAAACGGUCGGUUUCAUGCAGCCAUUGGCCCAUAGAAUUUCUGAACCUGAAAGAUUCUUGGGGAUUAUUUGGUAAACAGCCCCCUUCAUCUUGUAGAUGAGAAAACACGUCGUAGAAAUUCAGCAUCUCACAUUGAGAUUCAGCAAAUGUUCGACGGCCGGUCAAACAAGAGACUGGAUAUGAUUCAACACUUUUUGUCCAUUGGACAAUUAAUGUGUACCAAUGUCAUCAGUCCAAUAAAAGCAGAUGGGGAGUGCGGCAAGCUUUUGCCCAAUAAGAGGAAAUGAGUGAGUACCUGGCUGGCUCUAUUGGAAGAGCAUGCAACUCUUGAUAUUUGGGUUGUAAGUUUAAACCUCAUGUUGGGUGUAGAGAUUACUUAAAUGAAUAAAUACUCCAAAAAAAGGAAAAAGAAAAAAAUGAGAACUCUUGGUCAUAUCUUUCAGAACAUAUCCACAUGCUUCAAGGAAAUGUCAAAAUGGGCCAUUUACCUCAGGUUUUGGGAUCAUUUGAAGUUCUUUAACAUUUCUGCCUUUCAAGAGAAAAUUGCCAUAUAUAUCACCUCACAUCCUUUGGGGACGGCUGAGCACCAAGAGGUGCUCAGGAUGCCAGCAAGUGGAUCCAUGAUGGAACAUGGGAAGCUCAGCCCAGGCAGAGGAGUGACAUCUUUCUGGAGGGUCCUGAGAAACUUCUAA